CCUACGGGCGGCAGCAGUGAGGAAUAUUGGUCAAUGGGCGGGAGCCUGAACCAGCCAAGUCGCGUGAGGGAAGACGGUCCUAUGGAUUGUAAACCUCUUUAGGCGGGGAGCAAUGCCGGGCACGCGUGCCCGGAGGGAGAGUACCCGCAGAAUAAGCAUCGGCUAACUCCGUGCCAGCAGCCGCGGUAAUACGGAGGAUGCGAUCGUUAUCCGGAUUUAUGGGGUUAAAAGGGUGCGUAGGCGGAUUUUUAAGUCAGCGGUAAAAUGUCCGGGCUCAACCCGGGCCGGCCGUUGAAACUGGGGAUCUUGAGUGGGCGAGAAGUAGGCGGAAUGCGUGGUGUAGCGGUGAAAUGCAUAGAUAUCACGCAGAACUCCGAUUGCGAAGGCAGCAUACCGGUGCCCGACUGACGCUGAGGCACGAAAGCGUGGGGAUCGAACAGGAUUAGAUACCCUUGUAGUC
rnacentral:rRNA from 1 species